AUGCAGCCAUGCCGCGUGUGUGAAGAAGGCCUUCGGGUUGUAAAGCACUUUCAGUAGGGAGGAAGGUAGUGUAGUUAACACCUGCAUUAUUUGACGUUACCUACAGAAGAAGCACCGGCUAACUCCGUGCCAGCAGCCGCGGUAAUACGGAGGGUGCGAGCGUUAAUCGGAAUUACUGGGCGUAAAGCGCAUGCAGGCGGCCUGUUAAGUCAGAUGUGAAAGCCCGGGGCUUAACCUCGGAAUUGCAUUUGAAACUGGCAGGCUAGAGUCUUGUAGAGGGGGGUAGGAAUUUCAGGUGUAGCGGUGAAAUGCGUAGAGAUCUGAAGGAAUACCAGUGGCGAAGGCGGCCCCCUGGACAAAGACUGACGCUCAGAUGCGAAAGCGUGGGGAGCAAACAGGAUUAGAUACCCUGGUAG
rnacentral:rRNA from 1 species